rnacentral:rRNA from 1 species
CGCGUAGGCGGUUAGUUAAGUCAGAUGUGAAAGCCCUGGGCUCAACCUGGGAACUGCAUUUGAUACUGGCUGGCUAGAGUAUGGUAGAGGGAAGUGGAAUUCCAGGUGUAGCGGUGAAAUGCGUAGAUAUCUGGAGGAACAUCAGUGGCGAAGGCGACUUCCUGGACCAAUACUGACGCUGAGGUGCGAAAGCGUGGGUAGCAAACA